rnacentral:lncRNA from 1 species
AUUUCAGCAAGGAAAGCGAAGAGAAUACCCAUGAAGGUCAUUAGCCAUGACAAUAUGAACACUGCCCAGUCCUUGAAAUUUUUCUUUGGAAAGUGUCCCCUGUCUGAGAUGAGCAAUGCCCUGUACACUGCUUCAGCUACAGCAUAGGCUGUAACAGGAUCUGAUUCGUCUGCUAGAAAUCCAUACUCAGUGAGACAAACUACGUCAUAAACUCCAUUAGUCUCCGAUAUGCCCAAGCUUUCGCAUAGUUUGAGCCUGGCCUCGAUCCUUUCCUCUGUUGUCAACAAGUCUCCAUGCGUCAACGUCAAAAUGGGGUUCUCAUCUGCAAUCACAAAUAGAUCAAUUAAGAGAACCACUGGUUUGUGUUAUAUAGAGUGAUAGAACAUGAUUGUGGGUUAUUGGGUAUGAAAAAUCAUUUUCCUAAUGAAGUUUCCAAAGUUAAUUUCGUUAGUACUUGCAGGGUCAACGUCAUCUGAAUGCCAGUAGAAGACCAGAAAUUUCCGAAGUACCCUGUCAUUCAAGCUUCUCUAUCAGAGAAAAAUGAGGAAAAGCAAAGGAUUUGACUAUGGCCACCAAAUUCUGUAGAAUACUUGCAGUAAGUAUUCUUGGACAUAAUAAUCAUAAUCUUUAUUGUCAUUUUAGGGAAGCUUCAACAUUAAGCAGACAUCACUAUAUCAGAUAAACGUGGGUGGUCCAAAAAGUAUAUUUAAAAGACUUAAACCAAUCAAUAGUUGUAGGGAGGAGAGCUUACUGCAGUUUCUCAAAGCAGGGGAGCAGAAAAGCUCUCUUGUAGCCUCUAACGGCUGGGAAUCACCGGCUUUUAGAGCUUUAUAAACUUCAGCUAUAUCAACCACCACCAUAGCACAAUUCACUCUCCUCUGCACGAACUUGGAAGACGAUCUUGAAGCUGAGGAUCCUGCAUCGUCUUUGAGCAAAGUAUAAUCCUCUGAUCUCAAGCAUGGCUGGUUAUGAUGCACCCCAUCGAUCAUCCAACUCGACAAUUCCUCGAGGGCUUCUCCCAUUUUAUCAUAGCUAAAUCCCAUCGAAUCAUACACGCAAAACCCACUUUGCUGUGAUCUCAAAACAUUGUGCUCUUCCAUGUACAUGGUCUUGUAGUUCUUACAACUUCCUGCGGUUAGGAAAAUUCCAAAAAAGAAGGGCCAAUUUUACUUCACCUGUAAAAUUCUUCACAUCCAACAUCGUAACAUUCAUAGAAUAGGGAUGAACUUACCAGAUGAUGUCUGAGCAAAAGGCACGAGUCCAGUUCGACCAAGAACACUAUACAUUAAGUUCACAAGCGAGCUCUUGCCGGAAGCAGAGAAACCCACCAAGAGAAUUGUGAUUACUGGAGGAAUGUCCAUCUCUUCCCUCUUGAUACCUCCGGUGGGUACCCAGAAAUCACCAGAGCGAUAGAUUUGUAACUUAUAACGAAGUUCAUUGAGUCCUUCAUGUGCAAUCAAAGCCAAUCUUUCCAGCUCUCUAAGAACUCUUAGUCUUGGAGUGAGGUUUGCAAUAUUGGGGAGACCAACAUUGAUUCUAGAACAUUCUUCAAACUUGGCAGCUGAUCUCCACCAGCAAUACAGCAUUGGUGGGUACUCAUCGUCUUCAUCGCUGGAAGAUAAUUGGUUUUUCAUGUCUUUGUUAAAUUGCUUUCAGAAAUUGGUGAGGCAGAAGACGAUGAUCAAUCUUUUGAAGGCCCUGUUAAGUUGGUGCUGCCAUUAUGAGGCACUGUGGCAAAAAUGAGUGAGGAAGGAGGUGAGACAGGGACAAAAUAAAUGAACAUUAUUGGAUAUGUCUGAUCCUGUACAAGCUACGUCACGGGGUACUAGUAUAAACUUGUCCCCUGGCGGCUUCUGUGCUACUUCUAAGCUCCUUCCUCCUGCCCCAGCGAUCCUUACGGUACAUUUGAUACUUAAAUACCCUCGAGAGAGACUGGCCAACUUGUAAAUAGAAGGGUAUUUUCGUCGUAAUGAACCUCACAAUGUAGGGAAUGGGAGCGUAUUGCUACGGUUCCUUAGACCGUUGCGUCUGGCUUUCUCUUGCCAAUUCACAUCAACCACGUGGUUCCACGUAAACAAAAUAAUGAGUGGUAUUCCAAGUAGCAGAUAUAUAUAUAUUAUUUUCCCCAAUAUGGCUCUUAUUUGAUUGCUACUUGCAUUACUUUAUGCAAGUCAAAUUCUCGAAAAAAUGGAGUGAAAUGAUUCUACACGCAAUUUUUGAAAAAAAAAUAAUUAUAUAAUAAAUAAAAAUAUUAUUAUCUAAAUAUUAUAGAUAAUAUAUUUAAAAUAUAAAUAAAUAAAUCUCAUUUAAUUUUAAGGACCUCUAUCAGCUUAUUUUGCGAUUUUCAACUUUUUAUUAUAAUCUGAAAUCUUAUUUAAAAGUAUCUAUCAGAAGUUACAAGUCAAAAGUAAUUAUCAAAUUUCAUUUCCAAUCUGCCAAAUUUUCCCUUGUUCCCUCUUUUUGCAGAAGGGAUACUGGUACCUUUACAAUCAGAAAAGACAAAAUCUCUAGAUCCCAAAUUUGUCUUUGAAAGACCUCGGAAAGCAGCUUAUUUGACAUCUGUAACCUUUCUUCAAAAGAGACCUUAACUGAAGGUAAAUCCAUCAGAAUGAAGAGCAAAGUACUACCCCGUUGGGGAACCACCACCCUCAGCCUCAGCUUCGUCGUCAUCCUUCUUCGGCCAAUAAGUCUCAAAAAUCUUCACCGCUUUCUCAUAUAUGUUAUUGUUGUCAUGACUCUGAAGGUUCGAAAUCUUUUCUAAACCCUCUGCGUCAACUAUCAUUUGGGCAUAAAGAUUAGUUUCUCCAGUACUGCCUAAAUCCUUUUCAGCUUCCCCAACCACUAGAAUGUUCUGAAGCCCGUCCAAGCAAACUUUGAGAAUUAUGGGGUCAGGACAGAUCAAGAGAUCACAUAAUGGCUUGAUACACCCCUGGCUAACCAAGAACCUAUAGCGCACAAAUAAAGCACAACCUUUUAACAAAGUUAAAAUUAAACUUAACAAUCAAGUGAAAACAUCGAUCAUGAAAAGUAAAUAUACUUGAUUUGUUCAUAGGUGCCAACAGAAGUUGCAUUUGACAUUGCCCAAGCAGCCUCUUGCUUGACCUCAAGUUCAGCACUCUGAGCCAAGUCGACAAGGGGACCAAUGAUACCAGCUUCAAUUACAGCCUGCAUAGUUUCAUAUAUAUCAACUUCAAUAGAUAGGAUAAAAACACAAAAGUUAAAAUGAAACCGGCCCUGCAUGGAUUCCACAUAGGCUCCAAAGUCCAAACACAUUUACACUUGUGAAUAUCAAGAAAUGAAAACCAUGAACCAUUACAAACAAUCUGAUAACUUGUAAUAGGCAGAUGAAAAAGGGGGCUGAAGCAAUUGUGACAUUGAAGAAGAGGCCAACUCACCUGUAUUUGAUUUGCAUUUCCAGCUGUGAUGUUUGAGAUUGUCCAGCAUGCUUCAGUCUGGAUUAGCGUCUUAUUAUUGCUGGUCAGGAGGUUCAAAAGGCAAGGAAGAAGACAUUGAUAGUUUAUCAUGUACUGCAAUCGAGAGUAAGAUAAUUCCAUCUCUUUCAGUUCAUUGGCUUAGAAGUUCUCUCAGAAGGCAUCACAAUAACACAUAAAUUCAUACAAACAUUACAAAUUCAUACUUGAGUCUGCAUGUCAUCACCAGAGACAAUAUUUCCAACCGUUCGUAAUGCAGUGAAGACCACUGCGUGAGAUGGAUGACUAACAAGAGAACAUGAGCAAAGCAUUUCAGCAUUCACAGCUACAUGCAGGUAGAUAAUGUUCAUCCCAAAUACAUUACUAGGAAAAGUAUUACUUACAGUAGAAGUUCAACAAGCCUGGGGCAGAAACCUGCCCCAAUAACAGCCUGGACUGUGUCAUUGGUUCCAUCUGAGAGAUAAGAGAGAGCCCAGCAUGCAUAUUUCAGGACUUCCUCAUCACGUGAAUGUAUAAGACGCUCAAGAGCUGGCAAAGCAGGCUUUAUCUGCUCAAUGAAUAUCAACAGUAAUUAUUAAUAAUUGUAAUAAAUUAAUAAUAGGUGAAAACAUAUAUACAACCAAUCUUGAGAGCCAAAACCUGCUCAAAUAAAGGUUGUGGCUUGCCCCUGCAGAAGGUGGACAAUGUCCAAGUGGCAUUUCUCAACAUAGAAAUCUUUGAAUGUUCAUUGAACUGUGCAAGCAAUGGCAUCAAAGCUCCAAGGCCAAGGACAAGGUCGCGAAACUGAGGUGAGUCACCAGCAAUGUUUCCAAGUGCGUAAACUACCUAUAGUUCAAAAAGAGAAUAACCUCAAACAAUCAAGAUACAAUCUGGAUUGCAUUUCAAAAGACAGUUCGAACAAAGAAAACUCAGCAAAAUGAAGGUAUAGAAUAAACAACACUAAGGUCAUCUACCUGUUCCCGGAGCUCGUAAAGUGGUGAACUUAAAAGCUUGACAAAUGGUGGUACAGCUCCAUGAUCAAUUAGAACCUUGUUGUUCUCUGAUGUCCCUGAAGAAAUAUUGGUGAGAGCCACUGCUGCCUCAUACUAACACAAAUAAAAAAACAUUACAAAAGAUAGUUAGAAAAUAUGAGCUAGUAAUUAUAAUAUAGAGCUAAAUUCAAACCUGAAGUUGUGGAAAACCUUCCCAUGCAAGGAAUUCAAUAAAACGAGGAACAACACCAGAGUCUACAACUUCAUCGAUUGGAGGACUGCGGCCUACAUACAAGAUUCAAAGUGAGAAACUGUAUAUAUAAAUUAUGCAACAUAAAAGCAGAAAGUAUAAAUAAAAAUAGAAACACAAAACAAAGUCAACCCGUUGAGAGCAGCUUUCGGAUAUAAUUGGUUGCCCCUAGCUGUGCAUACCUGUUUUCUGACCAAACACCUGCAACCAUUACUGGAAGAUUUUCUAACUGCGACCAGAGCAAUAAAAAAGUUCAGCUCCUCAGAUUAAGAGGAGUGCAAAACAUACAAGAAAUUCAAGCAUCUCAGUUAAACAGCCAAUAGAAUCACAGGAUAAACAACAGAUUCUUUUAUUCUCAAAGCCAUUAACGAAGUAUGAAGGAAGAAGUGCAUAAAAAUCCUUCAAACUUUCACUUAUUUCCUGGCAGCAGGCUUCCUAUCCGAUCAAAUCUCAAAAUGGAAGCCACUUUCCAUCAUUCUGAAUUAAGUGUAGAGAAAUAGUGGUAAGGAAUAAUGGCCUCACCAAGGUGCAAAGAAUUCUACAACCGAAGUUCUUUACUUUUAACCAAAUUUCUUUACUUUAUUUUCAUCAACUAUGACGUUAACCCACAUUGGUUCAUUGUCACAAAUAUGAUCCAAUGUAUACAUUUCUUCACACACCCUUUCCCCUUCUUUCAUUGAAUUCUGACAAGUUCUUGGAGAUUGAGAGAUGGAUGUAACUCAUGGAAGAAAUUUUGUGCAAUCAGAUGGGUAAGAAUUUGGGGAGACAAUGAGAGGAAAAGGAGAUGAAUCUUGAAACAACCAAGAAUGUGAAAGAGAACAACAACAGAAGAAAUGGAACACAAAAGAGAGAAAGAAAAUGAGAGAAGUUUAGAAUCAAAGAAGAGGGAGGAAACCAAGAUGCAAGAAAGGAGGAAGAGAAGAAGAAGAAUUAGCAGCAUAACCCAUGGGCAAAGGAUCAUCACCUCUGAUACCGUUGAUGUGACUUAAAUUGAAAGAAACAACAAGAAAGGAAGAUCCCAAAAUAAAAAGAUAGACAAAGAGCUAAAACAAAAAAGAAUCAAGAAUCUUGUAAUUUCAUUUUAUACAGGAAUUACAAAGUAGCAGCUCUUACUCAAAAAGACACGUAACAUUAUCCUACUCCUGUUUUCUUGUGAACAGAAUAAAAUGGAAAGGAAAAGAAGUAGCUAAACCAACAUUUAAGAAGAGGAGGUGAGUUGCUGCUGAGGUGGAGGAAACUACACUCUGAUCGGCAGAGGAACUGGAGAUGGAGGAAACUACACUCUGAUCGGCAGGGGAACUGGAGAUGGAGGAGGUGAGUUGCUGCUGAGGUGACUGUAAUCCCUCGCGUCCCUUCUUCUGCAAAUUCUCUUCUCUCUUGUCCUUCUGAAUCUCCACCAUAUUGUCCUCUGUCCUCCUCCUCCCUUCCUCCGCAUCCACCGCCACCUUGUCCUUAUUCCUUUGAGCCUCCGUACUGGCGCUCGGCCUUAGCGACAUGGUUGGCAAUCAAAUAAAAUCGAAUGGAAUGUGAAGGCAGAGAGGAUGACUGUGAGAGGAAAGGGAAUAGAGGGAAGGAGCGUUGAGUAUGGAAGCGGAGGGAAGGAUUAUUUAUAAUUUUAUUUGGGGAAAAUGGGCCUGGGUUGGGCUCCAAACAGUGUCCAUUCGGUAUUACUUCUGAACUACUGUUUAUUAAAAAUAAAUUAAUUUUAGUUAUUUAUUUAAAACAUGUUUUAUGUGGUCUUUUUAUAUUAAACAUGAAAAAUAAUUUUACUAUAGGAAAUUAAAGAAAAAGGAAUCAUAAGGAUCAUGCUGUUUUAAUUAUUUUAUUUUCUAUUAUUAUUUGUUUUUUUAUAGGUAUUAGUGCUGAUUUCGAUUUUAGUUUCUGUUAUGAAAGAUGAUUUUAAGUGUGAUAUCGGCAACUAAGGAUCAUGCUGAUAUAUUCAGUAGCUAACGCUUCCAUUGGUCUUCUUCAGACAGGCUCUAAGAGUCUCUUCCUUUAGAUUGUUUUUAUUGAUGGACGAUUCUCGCUGUUAGCCUCAAUCCUCUCUAUUUGCAUAUAUGCCUUUUGUUCUCCUUGUUUUUUUUGUUCUUUUUAUUUUCUUUGUUGUCUGUCACUUUGCUGUUACUGAAUGAUGUCAAUUCAAGUUUUUUCAGUCUUUGUUAAUUUUAUUGUAUUUACCAGUAUUGCACGGUGCGACGGUGGGUAUCGAUUUCAGUCUUUGUAAAUUAAGGCAUGUGCAAGGAAUUUGUGAGCACUUGGUGAGAGUUAUGCAGGAAAUGCACGGCGUUGACGUUGAUCCUCAGACUGAUAUAGCCAUUUGCUGCUGCCAAACUGAGGCAUUUGCUGCCGCAGUAUUUGCUGGUUUUUUUCCCUGUUCUCAAGUUGCCAUUUUCAUGAUAGUCCCUUAUUAUUAUUAUUAUUAUUAUUGAGAAUAUAUGGGUCUGGCUUCUUUUGACAGUGAUAGAUCAGGGGGAUGAAGUUGUGCUCUUUGACCCUUCUUAUGAAACAUAUGAGAGUUGCAUUAGAAUGGGUGGAGGAGUCCCUGUAAGUCUUUUGUUGUCAAUUAAUACUGUUUUAAGAGUACUAGUGGGGAUUGUAAAGAAAAGUCGGGAUUUGAUGAUUAUUUAAAGAAAAGUGGAUUUCUUACAGGUAUAUGUGGCAUUUGACCCUCCUUUUUGGAGUUCGGAUUCAGACAAAUUCAUGGGGUCGUUUACUUGCAGAACAAAAGCUGUGAUAUUAAGCAGGUUAAAGAGUUCUCUUAUCAUUAAAAAGUGGGGAUUUGAUUAAGCAUUCAUUUAUUUUCACCUUGGCAUUUGUGACCAUGUCUUCAUCUCCCUUACCAUCUGAAUAUAUAGUCCAACUCUAGUGAGCUGUUUGUCUGUCAUUGACAUUGAUUCCUAGAUGGUUUAUAAUUCUGGAAAGACAAAUAUCUAAAGCUUUUUGACCUUAAGUGCUAUUUAUUGCCAAUUCAGUCUCUGAUAUCCAGAUAAAAGCAAAAUGCUAGACAUUGUUAUCAUUCUUAAAAAGAAGGUAGAGAGAGAAGGAGAAGCAUAUCUUUUUGUCAAAUGAGAAUUGAAAAAAGUUUAAAUACAUUGGAAUGGUGUAUCAAAAACUUUCUGUUACAGGUCAAAACCCACACCAUGUCAUAUGACUCGUUCUCUGAGUUGGUUCAUAUGGCCAAAACCCUUCAGUUAAGGAUUGGAUGGGCGAUUGCUCCAGCUUGCUUUGCCUCUGCAAUUAGAAAUAUUCAUGUUAAACUUACUAAUUCUGCUCCAGCACCUUUCCAAGAAGCAGCCUUGACUACCUUAAGUAGCCCACCAGAUUAUUAUGAAUCAUUGAGAAGAGUAGGUCCUGGAAGGCUUUUGCUUGAUUUUGUGAUGGAUUACCUGUAAUAACUUCUUGAUGUAGUAGUUGGUAUAUUGCUCAACCAGGAAGUAGGUCUCAAAUUUAAAUUCCUACAGAAUGGGAAUUUUAUAGAGGGGAGAUUUUAUGGAUUAAUGCUUUGUCCAAACAGGCCUGUGAUUUUGCCAUUUGUUAUAAUUAUUUGUUGCUAUCAUUCUUGUCACUGUUAAGGGUUAUGAAUCAAAAAGAGAUUACAUGGUGGAGGUGCUUACUAAGAUUGGUUUUCAAAUUCAAUUUAAGCCUCAGGGCUCAUUCUUUUUAUUUGCAGCACGUCCUGAAAAUUCCCCACUUUCUGAUGUGAGUGCAUUCUACACUUUGUUGAGCUAAUCAUAUCAAGAAUCUAAAAUUUCUUUAGCAGUUGUUCUUCAAAUUCUGAUAAUGUAAGCAGAUAUCCAAUAGUUGUGCUAACAAAUACAUCAUUUUCCAACUUAUACUAAUUUCUCAUUUUGAUCGAACAACUGCUUUAAAUUAAUAGAACAAGCAGGAGUGUAUAACAGAAGAAGCUAUCCUCAGUUGCAAAGACCUGCACUCCCUCACCCGUUCAAGAGCUCUCUCCCUUAGCUCAGAAACUCGCUGCCGUUUCUGCCAUCAAUUCUGACUUCAACCAGUACAGGUAGGUAGCCAAUGAUUGAAAAAUGCACUCUUUUUAAUAGACCUCAUUUUAAUAGACCUCAGAAGGAGCCUAACUGCUUUAAACUAAGGCAUGUCCAAGGAAUUUGUGAGCACUUGACGAGAAUUAUGAAGGAAAUGCACGGUGUUGAUGUUGAUCCUCAGACUGAUAUAGAUCCGGGGGAUGGAGUUGUGCUGUUUGACUCUUCUUAUGAAACAUAUGAGAGUUGCAUUAGAAUGGCUGGAGAAAUCCCUGUAAGCCUUUUGUUGUCAAUUAAUACAGUUUUAAGAGUAUUAGUGAGUAGUGAUGAUUGUAAAAGGAAGAGUUGGAAGAUUUGAAUUGUUGAUUACUUGGACAUGAAGGCUAGAGUUAAGAUCUCUACAUACAAGUACAUACAUAAAAGGAAAAAGCUCAUUAGUGUUACUGGUAAUACUGCAGAAAAUCAGAGUUUCCUUCCUUUUUAAUCCUUCAAUUUUUUAUUGUGUCCGAGAGUAGUGCAAAUUUCAGCAAAGGAAAGCGAAGAGAAUACCCAUGAAGGUCAUUAGCCAUGACAAUAUGAACACUGCCCAGUCCUUGAAAAUUUUCUUUGGAAAGUGUCCCGUCUGAGAUGAGCAAUGCCCUGUAUGCUGCUUCAGCUACAACAUAGGCUGUAACAGGAUCUGAUUCUUCUGCUAGAAAUCCAUACUCAGUGAGACAAACUACGUCAUAAACCCCAUUAGUCUCUGGUAUGCCCAAUCGUUCGCAUAGUUUGAGCCUGCCCUCGAUCCUUUCCUCUGUUGUUAACAAGUCUCCAUGCGUCAACAUCAAAAUGGGGUUCUAAUCUGCAAUCACAAACAUGUAUUAUUUCUUCUGGAACCAUGGAAAUUUUUCAAUUAAGAGAAAUGAGAUUGAUAUGGCUGCCUGAUUAUCAACAAAAAUUGACGUUGGCUCUACCUGUUCUUCAUUCAAAUCUUUGAGAAUUUUCCUAAGCCACAAAGCAUGAUUUGCUGCAGCAGUUGCAGCAACAAAUUCAGCCUCUGCAGUACUUUGAGCAAUGAUUUCUUGCUUCCUAGAACACCAAUUGAUCGCACCUGAUCCAAAGUUAAAGCAGAAACCUGUAGUACUUUUCAUAUCAUCUACCGAACCUGCCCAAUCACUGUCAGAAAAACCAACUAACUUGAAAUUUGGACAGCAAACAUACUUUACUCCAAAAUCAAUUGUUCCCUUCUGAGAUUCAAGAUACUC